AGGAGGGUCACCGCAUGAAGGAAACUGAAAAAUGAUUUGCAAGUUUGCAUUCCUUUGACCUGAAGUUUCAGUAAACAUCUUGCUUAGGGAACCCCACUGGGAUCUCCAGAAAGCACAGGCAAAGGCAGGAAUGGGCUACCAAUGGGAAUCUGGACUAAGGUGGCUGGAGAGCAACUAUUCCUUACAUAUCACAUCAGAAAUGCCUUUGUCAACAUUAAUCAACCCUGCUGACAGCUUUGGGAGAGCCUUCGUUCCCCCAUGUAGCAUCUUCCACCAGCAAGAGAAGCUGAGGCUCCUUGGAAUUCAAAAUGUUGAGAAGUGGACGUGAUGCAGAAUGUUCUGUUUUUGUUUCCCAAGGUAUCAAUAUAUGGUCUGUUCAAGUGCAGAAGACUCUUCUGACGGUGAAUCCAACUGGGUGUCCCCUUGGCACAAGGGUUGUAUUGUUCAGCUGUUCAGCCCCAUGCCUC